rnacentral:rRNA from 1 species
GCUCCUUUGAAGUUAGCGGCGGACGGGUGAGUAACACGUGGGUAACCUACCUAUAAGACUGGGAUAACUUCGGGAAACCGGAGCUAAUACCGGAUAACAUUUAGAACCGCAUGGUUCUAAAGUGAAAGAUGGUUUUGCUAUCACUUAUAGAUGGACCCGCGCCGUAUUAGCUAGUUGGUAAGGUAACGGCUUACCAAGGCGACGAUACGUAGCCGACCUGAGAGGGUGAUCGGCCACACUGGAACUGAGACACGGUCCAGACUCCUACGGGAGGCAGCAGUAGGGAAUCUUCCGCAAUGGGCGAAAGCCUGACGGAGCAACGCCGCGUGAGUGAUGAAGGGUUUCGGCUCGUAAAACUCUGUUAUUAGGGAAGAACAAAUGUGUAAGUAACUGUGCACAUCUUGACGGUACCUAAUCAGAAAGCCACGGCUAACUACGUGCCAGCAGCCGCGGUAAUACGUAGGUGGCAAGCGUUAUCCGGAAUUAUUGGGCGUAAAGCGCGCGUAGGCGGUUUCUUAAGUCUGAUGUGAAAGCCCACGGCUCAACCGUGGAGGGUCAUUGGAAACUGGGAAACUUGAGUGCAGAAGAGGAAAGUGGAAUUCCAUGUGUAGCGGUGAAAUGCGCAGAGAUAUGGAGGAACACCAGUGGCGAAGGCGACUUUCUGGUCUGUAACUGACGCUGAUGUGCGAAAGCGUGGGGAUCAAACAGGAUUAGAUACCCUGGUAGUCCACGCCGUAAACGAUGAGUGCUAAGUGUUAGGGGGUUUCCGCCCCUUAGUGCUGCAGCUAACGCAUUAAGCACUCCGCCUGGGGAGUACGACCGCAAGGUUGAAACUC